rnacentral:rRNA from 1 species
CCUACGGGAGGCAGCAGUGAGGAAUAUUGGUCAAUGGACGAGAGUCUGAACCAGCCAAGUAGCGUGAAGGAUGACUGCCCUAUGGGUUGUAAACUUCUUUUAUAUGGGAAUAAAAUGCUCCACGUGUGGGAUUUUGUAUGUACCAUAUGAAUAAGGAUCGGCUAACUCCGUGCCAGCAGCCGCGGUAAUACGGAGGAUCCGAGCGUUAUCCGGAUUUAUUGGGUUUAAAGGGUGCGUAGGUGGAUUGUUAAGUCAGUUGUGAAAGUUUGCGGCUCAACCGUAGAACUGCAGUUGAAACUGGCAGUCUUGAGUACAGUAGAGGUGGGCGGAAUUCGUGGUGUAGCGGUGAAAUGCUUAGAUAUCACGAAGAACUCCGAUUGCGAAGGCAGUUCACUGGACUGCAACUGACGCUGAGGCUCGAAAGUGUGGGUAUCAAACAGGAUUAGAUACCCUUGUAGUC